GUAGUGCUCUGUGAGGUGCUACAGACAUGACUGAUUUUCAGUACCAAGAAUGGAAGAAUGAAGGAUGUUCACAUCAAUCAAAAAGCAAAAUCAACCUUUCCCUUGCGGUGAGUAAAAGACCAACUUGCAUCUGCUUGGUAUGCAGUAAAAAAUGGAGCAGAUUGCACAGUGACUGGAGAAAUGAAUGAGAAGUCCAGCUGUGAAAAAAAGUCAGAGACAAAAAUGAAGAUAAUAAAAUAUAUUUUGGAUGAGGGCAAUUUCCUAAAUAUGUAACUGUCAAGCUGGUGAGGUCAUAAAGAGAACAGAAGAUUGUCUAGGUCUGGGCGUGAGGUCCGAGCAAAGUGCCCUGAAAGAGCCACUGAUAGAAGUUUGGCACAAAGAACACCUGGCUAGAAACCACAUCCCCUGGAUGCUGAUCCUGAGAAUUCGGUAUCUGAUGCCUCUCCUGAAUUUAUAAAGGAAGAGUGGUGUGUCCACCAGUGCCCACAAAUCCAUGGCCUCCAGACCAGAAGGGAGUUCAAAGAAGAUGUUCUAUGAUAAACUGGGCCUUUUGGUGGGCCUCUAGCACUUGCCAGGACAACCUGUGCAUGGCUCCACCAGCCCCAAACCCAGGACAGCUGUUUGGAGCUUCUCUCACAGACGUUUGUGAGAAUGACAAGCUGCCUGCCCCUCUGCUGGAUAUGCUUUCCUUUGUCAAUCAAAAAGGGCCAUGCAUAGAGAAAAUUGGGUAACAUAAACUCAUGUAGACUCCUGAAGGAGAAACUCAAUUCAGGAGAUAAAGUAAACUUGGACAGCGAGUCUGUUGUCGUGGUGGCCUCUAUCUUUAAGGAUUUUCUUCGAAACAUCUGAGAAAGUAUAUUUUCAUCCCAACUCUUUGAUAAGCGGCAUGGUGUUAUGGAUCAGGAGAACAAGGAAGAGAUAAUAACUGCAAUCCAGAGGCUUUUAGACCAGCUGCCAAAAGCCAAUGUUGUUCUCUUGUGAUACCUUUUUGGAGUGUUACAUAACAUUGAGCAGCAUUCCUCAGCCAAUCAGAUGACAGCUUAUGAUUUAUCUGUGUGUAUAGCCUCAAGCAUUAUUUUCCUGCCUACUCCCUGUAGCUCAGAAGUGGUAAAUGAGUCACCAAAAAGGUUUCUAUUGUACAAUUUCUCAUUGAAAACUGCCUCAGCAUAUUUGGAGAAGACAUCACUUCCCUCUUGGAGAAGAGCUCAAUGACUUGUGACAACAGUGAUGCUUCAGGUACCUUGAGAAAUUUGGCUAGUUUUGAUGAGAAACAGUGAGUAGGGCUGCCAGGAGUCAUGAGAGAUGCUUAGGCAGUGGCUGUCCUGGAUUCCAAGGCAAGCCCCAAGCACAAUGAUGCAGGACCCAGGACUCCAUCUGCUCAUUCUUUAUAAGGUUAGCUCACAGGUCAUCUGCUGAGAAGGUCAUCUGCUCCUCCUUCACUGUGCUCACUGAAUGAGGACAUUCCAAGAUCCCAGCUCCUCCCAUUUGAACUUUCCUUUUCCUAAUCCCAUGCAUCUGUGUUUGAGAAAAUCUUCCCACAUGAUUUUCUAUUUUCCCAUUUCUUCCAUGUUGUAUUACUUUAGUAUUAUUAUUAAUAAAUGCACAUAUUGUGUAUAUGC